ACGGCUCAGUAACACGUGGAUAACGUGCCCUUAAGUGGGGGAUAAUCUCGGGAAACUGAGGAUAAUACCCCAUAGACCAUGGGAUCUGGAAUGACCUGUGGUUCAAAGUUCCGGCGCUUAAGGAUCGGUCUGUGGCCUAUCAGGCAGUAGUGGGUGUAAUGUACCCCCUAGCCGAUUACGGGUAUGGGCCUUGAGAGAGGGAGCCCAGAGUUGGAUUCUGAGACACGAAUCCAGGCCCUACGGGGCGCAGCAGUCGCGAAAACUUCACAAUGGGCGCAAGCCCGAUGAGGGAAUUCCUAGUGCUAGCUCUUUUUGAGUUAGCUUUUCUUCAGCGUAGAUAACUGGAGGAAUAAGGGCUGGGUAAGACGGGUGCCAGCCGCCGCGGUAAUACCCGCAGCCCGAGUGGUGGUCGAUUUUAUUGAGUCUAAAACGUUCGUAGCCGGUCUGAUAAAUCCUUGGGUAAAUCGGGAAGCUCAGCUUUCCGAAUUCCGAGGAGACUGUUAGACUUGGGAUCGGGAGAGGUAAGAGGUACUUCAGGGGUAGGGGUAAAAUCCUGUAAUCCUUGGAGGACCACCGGUGGCGAAGGCGUCUUACUAGAACGAAUCCGACGGUGAGGGACGAAGCCCUAGGUCGCAAACGGGAUUAGAUACCCCGGUAGUCUAGGGUGUAAACGCUGCAGACUUGGUGUUGGAGGCCCUUCGGGGGCAUUCAGUGCCGGAGAGAAGUUGUUAAGUCUGCUACUUGGGGAGUACGUCCGCAAGGAUGAAACUUAAAGGAAUUGGCGGGGGAGCAC
rnacentral:rRNA from 1 species